GACGAACGCUGGCUGCGUGCUUAACACAUGCAAGUCGAACGGUAAGGCCCUUCGGGGUACACGAGUGGCGAACGGGUGCGUAACACGUGGGUGAUCUGCCCUGCACUUCGGGAUAAGCCUGGGACACUGGGUCUCAUACCGGAUCGGACUCCUGGCUUCAUGGUUGGGGGUGGAACGCUUUGGCGGUGUGGCAUGGGCCCGCGGCCUAUCAGCUGGUUGGUGGGGUAAUGGCGUACCAAGGCGACGACGGGUAGCGGGCCUGAGAGGGUGACCGGUCACACUGGGACUGAGAUACGGCCCAGGCUCCUACGGGAGGCAGCAGUGGGGAAUAUUGCACAAUGGGCGCAAGCCUGAUGCAGCGACGCCGCGUGAGGGAUGACGGCCUUCGGGUUGUAAACCUCUUUCAGCUAUGACGAAGCGCAAGUGACGGUAGUAGCAGAAGAAGGACCGGCCAACUACGUGCCAGCCGCCGCAGUAA
rnacentral:rRNA from 1 species